GCCAGGAGAGCUCAGUCAGUAGAGCAUGAGACUCUUAAUCUCAGGGUCGUGGGUUUAUACCCCACCUUGGUA
rnacentral:tRNA from 1 species